rnacentral:lncRNA from 1 species
AGGAAGAGCCGAAGCAAGUCAUAUGGGAUGGUCACACAGGUAGUAUUGGUCGCACUGCUAACCAGGCAAUGUCUCAGAACAAUGCAGAUGAUCAGAAUGAUGCUGCAAAUGAUGCAAGAAAUCUUCCUGGACCGCAGGUUCCUCCACCUCCUAAACCUGGAUUUCCAUCUGUUAGGCCACUACCUCCACCUCCUGGGCUUGCGCUGAAUAUUCCCAGGCCUCCUAAUACAGUCCAGUAUCCCACUCCUGGUGUUGCUGCUCCACCUCCACCUCGGCCUCCUAUAGUUAACAUGAUUCCCCAGGUUCGGCCCCCACCUCCUCCCAUGACACAGAUGCC